rnacentral:misc_RNA from 1 species
CCUGAGUACCUGGACGUGGGUAUGAACGGCCGCUGACCCAGCCGGCACACGCUGGACGCCCAGCCCGGCUCUCUAUAAAGGCGGGCCGCACGCCCCACUGGCCACAGUCGCUCAGCAUCCGACGCCGACCGCACCUGCAGACAUGAACGCCCUGGUGGUCCUCUCGCUGGCCGUGGCGGCCGCGCUCGCCGAGCCCAGGCCGGGCUACCUGGGCGCCACCACGUACGCGGCGGGGCUGGGCAUCCACGCCGCCCCGCUGACGCUGCCCGCCGCCUCCGUGCUGGCGCCCGCCGUGUCCUCGCAGUUCCACGCGCAGGACGAGCUCGGCCAGUACCACUACGGCUACAGCGGCGGCCCCUCCGCCAAGGAGGAGAUCCGCACCGCCGACGGCUCCGUCGCGGGUGCCUACUCCUACGUGGACGCCCACGGCAUCGUGCAGAGCGCCCACUACGUGUCCGACCCCGUCAACGGCUUCCGCGUCGCCGCCACUAACCUCCCGGUCGGUCCCGCCGCUCCCGCCCCCGCCGUCGUGGCAGCCGCCCCCGCCCCUGCCGUCGCCGUGGCCGCCGCGCCCGCCGUCGUCGCCGACACCCCCGAAGUCGCCGCCGCCAAGGCCGCCCACUUCAACGCCCACCUGGCCGCCAAGGCCGCCGUCCUCGGCCGCAAGAAGCGCAGCCCCGGCUUCCUGAGCGCAGCCGCCCCCGCCGCCGUGCUGUCCACCCCCGCCGCCACCGCCCUCGCCGCCCCAGUGGCCUACGCCGCCCCCGCCGUGGCCGUCGCUCCCGCCCGCAGCUUCGCCUACUCCGCCGUCGCCGCUCACGGUGCGCAGGUGGUCCCCGCCGGUCCCGUGGCCGCCUACGCCGCCGCCGCCCCCGUCGUGGCCGCCGCCCCUGCGGCGCACGUGGUCGCCGCCGCCCCCGCCGCCGUCGCCUACUCCGCUCCCGCGCCUGUCGCCUACUCCGCACCCGCCGCCGCGGCCGUCCUGCCAGUGGCCGCCUCCAGCCAGUACCGCGUCCAGGACGAACUCGGCCAGUACACCUACGGCUACGCCGACGGAAACUCCGCCAAGACUGAGAGCCGCGCUGCUGACGGCUCCACUGUCGGCGGCUACUCCUACGUAGACGGCAACGGCCUGGUGCAGAGUGUCAAGUACCACGCCGAUAGCCUGGGCUUCAGGGUCGCCGCCACCAACCUGCCCGUCGGACCUGCCUAAGUUGAACAUCACAUCUGCUCCCUCCCUGGAAAUGUUUACCACAUGCAUACACACACACACACACACACACACGUAACAGCU